rnacentral:rRNA from 1 species
GAAUACAUAGGAAUCUGCCUGAUAGUGGGGGGUAACUUAGGGAAACUUAAGCUAAUACCGCAUACCGCCCUACGGGGGAAAGCAGGGGAUCGCAAGACCUUGCGCUAUUAGAUGAGCCUAUGUCGGAUUAGCUAGUUGGUAGGGUAACCGGCCUACCAAGGCGACCGAUCCCGUAGCUGGUCUGAGAGGACCGACCAGCCACACUGGGACUGAGACACGGCCCAGACUCCUACCGGGAGGCAGCAAGUGGGGAAUAUUGGACAAUGGGGGCAACCCUGAUCCAAGCAAUGCCCGCGUGUGUGAAGAAGGCCUUCGGGUUGUAAAGCACUUUCAGUUAGGGGAGGAAAAAGCUUGAUGCUAAUACCAUUGGAGUCUUGGACGUUACCUUACAA